rnacentral:rRNA from 1 species
CCUACGGGGUGCAGCAGUGGGGAAUAUUGCACAAUGGGCGCAAGCCUGAUGCAGCCAUGCCGCGUGUAUGAAGAAGGCCUUCGGGUUGUAAAGUACUUUCAGCGAGGAGGAAGGCGUUAAGGUUAAUAACCUUGGUGAUUGACGUUACUCGCAGAAGAAGCACCGGCUAACUCCGUGCCAGCAGCCGCGGUAAUACGGAGGGUGCAAGCGUUAAUCGGAAUUACUGGGCGUAAAGCGCACGCAGGCGGUCUGUCAAGUCGGAUGUGAAAUCCCCGGGCUCAGCCUGGGAACUGCACUCGAAACUGGCAGGCUAGAGUCUUGUAGAGGGGGGUAGAAUUCCAGGUGUAGCGGUGAAAUGCGUAGAGAUCUGGAGGAAUACCGGUGGCGAAGGCGGCCCCCUGGACAAAGACUGACGCUCAGGUGCGAAAGCGUGUGGAGCAAACAGGAUUAGAUACCCCGGUAGUC